UGUAGCCUCUCAUGACGUCACAAUAGCAAUUCAGAAUUUAAGUUUUUUUUUUUUUUUUUUCAGUCUGUACUCAGUUUGUUAGAGAGACAACAAGUAAAGACACAUUGUGAAGCAUAAACAGACUUGACUGUGUGAGGAAAAUGACUUGUUUUUACAGCACACAAGACGGAGUCAACAGCGACGGUUUCCAGACCUGCCGAGCCUGAUGACUCCUCUGGGAUUGUUGCUUCUGUGAAAGCCACGACGAAGGCCCCGCUGCCGGUCCUUCCUCAGCUGCUCGCCCUCGCCCCACAGCUUGGGGUAGAAGAACAGGCACCUAAUGUGUUGAGACAAAAGCCUGGGAUAACAUCAGCUCCAUUUCUUCCUGAAGAGUCACCAUCAGUGGAAGCACAGAGAGACACUGUGCCUGAUGAAGCUCUGCCAAGUCCAGCACCGUCUGUCCCUUUAGAUGUCCCACACCAGCCUGCAGCCUCUGUCCCUGGCUAUGCUCAGGAUGUAGCGCAGUGGAACUGCUCCCACCAGCAGAAAAUUUGGAUGAAGACUGAGCUGGAGGCGUUGGGACUGUGGCCGGGGUCACGUCCUGUUCGUCAUCCUAUGAACAUGCUGUCCUUGUGGCGUAAUCCACCUCAGCCUGAGCUCAUAGACUCAAUCUCUGAGCUGCCAUCACCUAAAUACUGUCAGCUUCAUCCUUUUUUCAUUUGGAAG